rnacentral:rRNA from 1 species
UCGUGUCGUGAGAUGUUGGGUUAAAGUCCCGUAACGAGCGCAACCCUUGUCCUUAGUUACCAGCACGUUAUGGUGGGCACUCUAAGGAGACUGCCGGUGACAAACCGGAGGAAGGUGGGGAUGACGUCAAGUCAUCAUGGCCCUUACGGCCUGGGCUACACACGUGCUACAAUGGUCGGUACAAAGGGUUGCCAAGCCGCGAGGUGGAGCUAAUCCCAUAAAACCGAUCGUAGUCCGGAUCGCAGUCUGCAACUCGACUGCGUGAAGUCGGAAUCGCUAGUAAUCCGUGAAUCAGAAUGUCACGGUGAAUACGUUCCCGGGCCUU